GAUGAACGCUGGCGGCGUGCCUAACACAUGCAAGUCGAACGGAGUCCAGCCUUAGAGACCUUCGGGUCAAAGAGGGGAAGACUGAGUGGCGGACGGGUGAGUAACACGUGGGCAACCUGGCUCAUAGAGGGGGAUAACAGAGAGAAAUUUCUGCUAAUACCGCAUAAGCACACACUGCCGCAUGGCAGAGUGUGAAAAGAGAAUCGCUAUGAGAUGGACCCGCGUCUGAUUAGCCAGUUGGCAGGGUAAGAGCCUACCAAAGCGACGAUCAGUAGCCGAUUUGAGAGGACGAACGGCCACAUUGGGACUGAGACACGGCCCAAACUCCUACGGGAGGCAGCAGUGGGGGAUAUUGCACAAUGGGGGGAACCCUGAUGCAGCGACGCCGCGUGAGUGAAGAAGUAUUUCGGUAUGUAAAGCUCUAUCAGCAGGGAAGAUAAUGACAGUACCUGAAUAAGAAGCCCCGGCUAACUACGUG
rnacentral:rRNA from 1 species